rnacentral:rRNA from 1 species
CCCUUAGAUGUUCUGGGCCGCACGCGUGCUACACUGAGUGGAUCAGCGGGUCAGGUUACACGAGAGCGUUUCCUAAUCUUCAAAUCCGCUCGUGAUGGGGAUUGACGGUUGCAAUUUUCCGUCAUGAACGAGGAAUACCUUGUAAGCGCGGGUCAUCAUCCCGCGCUGAAUACGUCCCUGCCCUUUGUACACACCGCCCGUCGCUCCUACCGAUUGAGUGGUCCGGUGAGGCUUUGGGAUCUAAGCGAAAAGAGCGUUUCGCUCCUUUUGCUGGGAGAACUCAGUCGAACCUUAUCAUUUAGAGGAAGGAGAAGUCGUAACA